GCUAUCACUUAUAGAUGGACCUGCGCCGUAUUAGCUAGUUGGUAAGGUAACGGCUUACCAAGGCAACGAUACGUAGCCGACCUGAGAGGGUGAUCGGCCACACUGGAACUGAGACACGGUCCAGACUCCUACGGGAGGCAGCAGUAGGGAAUCUUCCGCAAUGGGCGAAAGCCUGACGGAGCAACGCCGCGUGAGUGAUGAAGGUCUUCGGAUCGUAAAACUCUGUUAUUAGGGAAGAACAAACGUGUAAGUAACUGUGCACGUCUUGACGGUACCUAAUCAGAAAGCCACGGCUAACUACGUGCCAGCAGCCGCGGUAAUACGUAGGUGGCAAGCGUUAUCCGGAAUUAUUGGGCGUAAAGCGCGCGUAGGCGGUUUUUUAAGUCUGAUGUGAAAGCCCACGGCUCAACCGUGGAGGGUCAUUGGAAACUGGAAAACUUGAGUGCAGAAGAGGAAAGUGGAAUUCCAUGUGUAGCGGUGAAAUGCGCAGAGAUAUGGAGGAACACCAGUGGCGAAGGCGACUUUCUGGUCUGUAACUGACGCUGAUGUGCGAAAGCGUGGGGAUCAAACAGGAUUAGAUACCCUGGUAGUCCACGC
rnacentral:rRNA from 1 species